CUGAGCCGAAGGCAGACGCUUAACCAUCUGAGCCACCCAGGCGCCCCCAUGAAUUCUUUUAAAUGGUUAGUGCAUUCUGUGUCCUACCCCAAGAUCGACAUGUUCUACAUUUUCUUCCAGAAAUUGUCUAAUGUUAAGCUAUAAUCCAUCUCAAAUGUCUAAAUUCCGUUUUUAAUUCUAAUAGGAUAUUUAUAGACUAUUUUGGAUUUUCUGUGUACACAAUCAUAUUAUCUGUGAAUAGUCACAAUCAUCCCCUCAAUUCUUAUGCUUUUUGUUUCUCUUGCCUUAAAACACUGGGUAGAUUCUCCAAUGCAAUGUUGAAUAGAGUAGCAUUGUUUGAAGAUUUUAAUAUACCUUUCUCAAUAUCUGAUAGCAAAAGCAGACAAAACAUUGGUAACAAAUGUGACAUAAUUGACAUAUAUGGAACAUUACAUAAUAAGUGCAGAAUACAUUAUUUUUAAGUGGUCCUAGAAUAUUUACCCAAAUAGAUGGUAUGUUGGGCCAUAAAUCAAGUCUACAAAUUUUAAAAGCCUGAAACUAACUAGAUUAUAUUCUUAGACCACAAGGGAAUUGAGCCACAGUCAUAAUGAAAAGAAAACCAGGAAGUCCCUCAGUGUUUAAAAAUUAAAUGUAACUUUGCUACAUAUCCUAAGGGUCAGAGAGAGAAUCGCAAUGGAAAUUCUCAAUCUUUCCUACAUCAGAGCUCACAGACAAUGGCACUUUAUCUGUGAAGAGCACUCAUUAUCAUAAACUAGACAGGAGUUAAGCCUCACAUCAGAGGUCUGCCUGUCCCAGCCACACCUGGCAGCCUUAGCCUGUGGUUGCCCCGCCCCUCUCCCCCAGCCCAGGGGCCCUUUCUGGUGGCCCUAAGCUAAGUGUCAUGACAAUGAGCUACUCUGUUUUAUUCUGUAGUCCAAAGGGAUAGUGCCAGACUGUCUGGCAGUUCUAAAAUUCUGACUUUAAAUUAUCUGUGUGCUUCAGAGAUUUGGGCAGGAGAAGGGGAGGAGCCCAGCAUCUGGGAACACCUCUGUUACCUGUGCUGAGCAUGGAACAGGUAACCUUCUGUAGGCAUCAUUUGAUUUCUUGGUACUGUUGUUAAAGGCACUUUUAUCUCAAGUUCCUCUCUUUAGUAAUAAUUAUAAUGUUAAUGGAAAUUUUUAUCUUUUACCAUCCAUGGGCCCGGAUCCUGAGCUCCCCGGGAAGCUAUCCUUUAACAUUUUACCAAGCUCAAAAUGACUGGGCAAAACCUCAGAGCAUGAACCCUAUUUCUGUCCCAAGCACAUAUUGUACAUCUGCUUCGAGAAGAAAAAGAUAACCAAAAAAUGCCAUUGCAAACAUAAAGUUAAGAAAAACAAAAGAACCUCUCUGGCUCCCAUAAGAUUUAAGUCAUACCAACUUGCACAAACUGAAAACAUAAGAAAAAGUCUGUAACUCUCUGGAAUGUUCUUCCUUAUGAUGAUGUGUAACUCUGUAUGUAAAACAAGACAACAAAUAUGCAAACCUGCCCCAAAUGUUCCUUCCUUGGAGCACUCCUUUCUUUGUGAAGAUUGUGUCUCCCAGGCCGCUGUCCUGACUUGGGUUUGAAUAAAACUCUCUUCCUUUCUCUCUAAACUGUUUAAAAGGGUUUGUUCAUUCAGUGUCGACAAUAACAAUAUGUUUUCUUUUUAAAUGAAAAAUAAAUGUUCCUGGUUCACAACUCCCAACAGCACAGAAAGGCGGCUGUUCUUCAUCCUGGAGCUUCCCUGCAGAACCAAGCAUAUGUAUAUAUAUUCCAGCAUAAACGGGCUCAUCUUACAAGGAUGUUUUGAAGGUCCAAGAAGCACUAUCCACUCCAUGGUCUCUUCUGCCUGAUGUCCAUCAACUGGCUGUAUCCCCCAGAUCCGUGAACUCCAGGGCGCCUGCUCACCCCAGGUUUUGUGGGAUGGGUUGCAGACAUUUCAGGGUUUCCCGUGUUCCCCGGGAAGAGUGCACGUAAUGACCGCACACGGUCCCCAACUUCAGUGGGGUGCCCCCUGUCCCCUGGCACAGAGUGCAGGCAAUGGACCUUGAGCAGCACCCCGAGUUCAGCAGGGUGUCCCCUGUUUCCCCAGGCAGAGGUGUGGUGGUAACAAGACCCAGAGCCGUCCCCCAACUUCAGUAUUGUGCCCUGUGUCCUCUGGGGAUGGUGGUAAUGGGUGUCAGGGUUGUGCAGGAGGGUCCUCCAGGUGGGGGCCUGGAGGCUGGAGUAAACCAGACCCCACUCAAGGGGGGCCCUCCCGGGGGCUCUUGUGUGAGGAGGAAGUUGGGUAAGGGGACCCCAGGCAGUGGUGACCUCACUUCCCUGACAACAGAGCCCAACAGAAUUUGACACCCCAGUAACCAGGCACCCACAUUCCAGAGACAGCCCCCUGCCCAGCUCAUUUCGUUGGAUAGCCUCCAACGAAGAACAUGUUUGCAUGUUGCAUCCCAAAGUCUGAAGGCUGCAGGCUGAAGAAAGUGCACCCUGCAAACACUUUCCCCAGCUGGGGAUGUCGUGUCAGGGCUCCCCAACGCCUCUGGCCAUUUGGCGGGAAGGACAGAAAGGUGACACCAGGAGGCCCAGAGCCGGCCAUGCAGCCCCACUCGCUCUGAUCUGACCUGUGCAACCCAGGUGCCCUCCGUGUGUGUGUGUGUGUGUGUGUGUGUGUGUAAAGAGAAGUCAUGUAGGGUGGGGCCACCCCGAGCACGAGCAGGCUGAUGAGGGGUCAGAUACCCAGUGGGCAGGUCAUGUUCAAGGUCAAGGCUGGCUGUGGGGGACAGGGUGUGCGGGCGCUACCCCUUCUGCCCAAGGUUUAUCCCGAUAACCCUGCAGGGAUGGGUCACUGCAUCCCGGGUGCAGGGCUGUGCACGCACAGGUCUGUGUCUGAUCUGGGAGCAGCAGGGGGACUGGGCAGGAGGACAGUGAGGAUGGCUGGGCAGGGCUGUGAUGCUUCGGGGCCGGCUACUCAUCCCUGUCUUUGCAGAAGUCAAUGGAGGAUAUGGAGAGGCAACUGGUGGACACACCCUCCAUCUCCUCGCCAGAGGGGGUGACCCCACAGGGGUGCCCAGGAACAGGUGCUGGGGAUUGCCUGGCAAGACCUCCAACACCACCCAGACCACUGUCCCAGGUGGUUGGUCACUGGACAGUGGUCCAGGAGCCGGAGCCCACGGAGGCUGAGGCCGAGGCUGCUCCACCAUCUGAGCGAGAGCUGGCUCCAACUCCAUCAGCAGCUCUGGAGCGAGGGUUGGUGCCUGCAGCGACUUCAGGAGGAAACCAGAGGCCAGCAGGUGACCUGGCACCUGCCCACGGAGAGCCUGACGCUGUCCAGGAAGAACUGGCACCUGUUCCUGCCCCUGACCCAGCUCCUGCUACAGUUCCUGCCCCUGCCAGAGCCUCUGUCCCUGCCCCUGCCCCUGCUUGUGGUCCUGCCCCUGCUCCUUCACCUGCUACAGUCCUGCUGCUCCCCCUGCCCCGUGCUCCUGUUCCUGCCCCUGACCCAGGUCCUGCCCUGGAUCCUGCACCUGCCACUACUGCUGACCCCGUCCCUCCCCUUGCCCCUG